AUACGGAGGGUCCAAGCGUUAUCCGGAAUCAUUGGGUUUAAAGGGUCCGCAGGCGGUCAAUUAAGUCAGAGGUGAAAGCCCAUCGCUCAACGAUGGAACUGCCUUUGAUACUGGUUGACUUGAGUUAUACGGACGUAGAUAGAAUAAGUAGUGUAGCGGUGAAAUGCAUAGAUAUUACUUAGAAUACCGAUUGCGAAGGCAGUCUACUACGUAUAUACUGACGCUGAGGGACGAAAGCGUGGGGAGCGAACAGGAUUAGAAACCCCUGUAGUCC
rnacentral:rRNA from 1 species